rnacentral:lncRNA from 1 species
UUGUAGACCGUUGCCGCCAUUAGAAGAUGGCGCCGGUCUCCGUUGUGGAUCUUGGUAAACAACUCCUUAUUAGGGAAAGUUGGCGCACUGUCCCUCAACACCCUAUGAGAAAACCCCGCAUGGCAGCUUUGGAUUGGACUUGAGUAAGCUUUAUUAGGCUAUGCUUGGGCGCUCGGCGGGGGGUCACUAGAAGAUGAUACAUGAAACAAGGCCUGAAUAAACUGCUGAAAGAAGAAUCCUGUGUCGUGUU